CAGCGAAAGAGGGCUUUGGCUAUCAUUACUUUUCAUCCUUGAAGUCUCCAGCAAAGUCUCAUUCCCCUGCAGGCCUUGCCCCUUCCAUUUCCUUCUCACCUGUCCUCUUUUUCACCCUCUUCUCUUUGCUCUUCAUGCUUGCUGUCCCCCAGGACUCUGAGGAGGAAGUCCAGUAGGGUCAAAGGCUUCUCACCAGGCCUCUCACCAGCCCCUCAUCUGGCCCUGUACACCUGUAACACCCCUGAAUCCUCCUCAGGGUACUUCUCUGAGGAUGACUCUGCAGGUAGGCAUCACUUCUUCUGCCCUGGAGGCCCAUUCCCCAGGCACUGCCCCACUUCCUUCAAAGGGUGCCCCAUAGCUGGGGGUGGAGCAAGUAUCUCUCAGACAAGAGGAAGAGAGAACUCAGCAGUCUGGCUCCAGUUGGGGGAUUGAAGGGUGGAGGGGGGGCUCAGGCCUCAGACAUGGUUGUCUCUCCUUCUGGGUGGAUGCUCAUUUCUUCCCUUCCCUGCAGGGCACUCCGUUAUCCACCAGCCUGGCUCUGCAUCCACCUCCAAUAAUGGUGCCUCCCAAGUUGGCAUCUUUAACUGGAUGGCAAUAUACAUUUCAGGUGGGUUGUACCGGGGGGUGGCCACAGUGCCCAGGGGAGUGGUGCUUCGCUGUACCGAGAAGAGUUUCUUCAUGCCUAUGCAGGGCCAAGCUGGGCCAGGGUGGAGUAACUUGAGGACUCUAUGGGGAGAUGGGCUUAUUAUGGAAGGAUCCCCAAGCACAGCUGAAGAGCUCUGGGAGGAUGGAAGAGCAGAAUAGCCAGAAGCAGCUGCAGAGUUGGCAUGCUGGGAGACGACUAGAUCUGGGAAAGGAUGGGCUGGCAGGGGCACGCCUUUGAAUCCCUCUGCUGGAACCUUUACAGGUUGGCUCUUUGCAGCAUUCCAGUGGUGCCUGGGAAACGCCUGGCACUGCCUGACCACAGCUGCCUCCCUCCAGGAUUUCUUUCUGUUAAUCAGGAGCUUUUUCACUCGGAAGAAGUUGCUCCUCUUUGUCUUGGGGAUGCUGUUCUUUGUGGCUUCGCUGGCUUAUGGUGCUUGGUGUUUCUACCCCUAUGGACUACAGACCUUCCACCCUGCUAUGCUCUCCUGGUGGACAGCCCGUGGUAGCAGCAGGAGAGAGGACAGGUGGGAACCAGCACAGUCCCCCUCAUAUUUCCAGGUGAGCUUACCUGGUCUGUGCUGGCUCCUUCUGGCGCCUGCAGCUCAGUGAAGCACAGUU
rnacentral:lncRNA from 1 species